CCUACGGGGGGCAGCAGUAGGGAAUAUUGCUCAAUGGGGGAAACCCUGAAGCAGCAACGCCGCGUGGAGGAUGAAGGUUUUCGGAUUGUAAACUCCUUUUGUUAGAGAAGAUAAUGACGGUAUCUAACGAAUAAGCACCGGCUAACUCCGUGCCAGCAGCCGCGGUAAUACGGAGGGUGAAAGCGUUACUCGGAAACACGGGGCGUAAAGGGCGCGUAGGCGGGAUAGCAAGUCAGAUGUGAAAUCCUAUGGCUUAACCAUAGAACUGCAUUUGAAACUGUUAUUCUAGAGUAUGGGAGAGGUAGGUGGAAUUCUUGGUGUAGGGGUAAAAUCCGUAGAGAUCAAGAGGAAUACUCAUUGCGAAGGCGACCUGCUAGAACAUAACUGACGCUGAUGCGCGAAAGCGUGGGGAGCAAACAGGAUUAGGUACCCGAGUAGUC
rnacentral:rRNA from 1 species